UCAUCUUCUUCUCCAUCUUCUUCAAGAUUUGAAACCCUAGCCUCCCCUUAUCUACCCUACAAUCAAACGUUCACACACACAAAAGAAAGACAAAGUGAACUCUCAUCUUCUUCAAACACACAAUCACAGCCUCUCAAUCUCCCUCUCUAUGAAGGCCGGCCGACCACCACAGGUGGUGGCGGCGUCAGGCGACUACAGCAGCGGCAGGAGACACCGCAGGCGGCGGUGGUUUCUCCCGGUGCCGGUUCUCCGACCAGACGCAUCACUACCCUCCCUCUCCUUCUCGAUGGCCGGCGACGGCGUGACAACAGUGCCGCCGCUCGCGGCGGUGGUGGUGAAUCUGAAUAAUAGAACAGCGCCCCUCUCUCUCGAUCUCCGAUGAUGGUAACGAGAUUAGGUAAAAAGAUGGUGAUGUGAGGUGCCGACGGCCGGAGACACCGUUCACGGCGGCGGCUCCUUGUUUCUGUCCGAUGACUUCGAGGUAACCCCCACCCCCCUUUUUCACCUCGCCCUCUUCUCUCCCGUUGAUUUUCUGACGACCGGUGACGGAGAGGAUGACAAGCAUAAGUUGGUUGAUGAUGUUGGAUCGGGUUUGGUAUGGUUAACUGGUCAGUGGGUUUGGUUCGGGCUCGGUCAGGACAAGUCAGCGGUCAAGUCACGUGAGUCUCGGGUCAGGUUCAGUACGGGAUUCGAGUCGGGUCAGCGGUCCAGUCAACGAGUCCGCACAGGUUACUCGCGAGAUACGGAUAAUCACUCUUGUUCGCUCUCUUGGAAUUUCCGUUCACUCAUGCACCAUCGUUUGCCCUUAUAGGGUGACCUCGGUGUUUCGUCCUCCUAAACUCGUACCCACGUCAACGCUUGGAUAAUCGGAAGACUUAACAAUUAUGUGGAUGUCGACGAUGCAUGGAACUUAGUAGGAUGCUUAGAUACACACUUAA